UACGUAGGGGGCAAGCGUUGUCCGGAAUCAUUGGGCGUAAAGAGCGUGUAGGCGGCCCGAUAAGUCCGCCGUGAAAGUCCAGGGCUCAACCCUGGAAUGCCGGUGGAAACUGUCGGGCUGGAGUCCGGAAGAGGCGAGUGGAAUUCCUGGUGUAGCGGUGAAAUGCGCAGAUAUCAGGAGGAACACCUAUGGCGAAGGCAGCUCGCUGGGACGGUACUGACGCUGGAGGCGCGGAAAGCGUGGGGAGCGAACAGG
rnacentral:rRNA from 1 species